rnacentral:tRNA from 1 species
GUUUUUGUAAUUUAAUAAAAAAUUUUGGUCUUGUAAACCUAAUAUAGUUCUAAUAAACUUGAAAACA